AUGGAGUUGUUUUCAUUUUGACUGUUAUUAUUUAUAAAUGUUAUUCACUUGAUCACUAAGGAAAUCAUUGAAUACAAAAAUCAGUCGAUUGUUGAUAAAAUUAACUUACGAGACUGGGAAUGGAACGUAAUGACGCCGACGAUUCCUCAUCAUCAUGUAUAGAAGGCGGUUAAAUAAGCCAGCUGAUACUUCGGACAUGAGAAGAGCACAAGUCAAGGAGAUGAUUAAUGAACGGUUUUAAAGGCACAAGAAUAGAAACACACACCACAAGAGUAAAUGAUGAAUGUCCAGUUGGUUGGAUUGUUGUUAAAGAUCAUGUAAAACAAAACAGUGAAGAAGUCAACUUUAAUGGUAAAUCUCACCAAUUGUCUCCAACAUGAGUAAAAAAGGACGAUGUUAACCGGGCCAAAAUAAGAAACGAAAUCCCGAAUUGUGGGCUUGGUUAGCCAAUUUUAUAAAGUGUCAUACACCACUGAUUACCCGAAUGAUAGAGGUUAAAUUCAUCUUCAUCUCAUCAUCAUUUCAAGAUCAUUUUAAUGUUUCCCUCCAAUGGUCAAAGGUCAACUCCAACCGACCAAUGCCUCGAUGGUCAAUCUAAUUGAGAUAUUGAGUGGAAAGGAGAGAAAAAAGAAGAUUUGAAUUUACAUGAUGACACAUUUUCCUCGUUUUCUUAUGGGCCUCAACUUUAAUUUCAAGUUAUCUACAUAAACAUUAUACCCUUUGGUAACCAUAAAGAUUUAUGCUUUCUUCAUGAGUUGCUCUUGUCUCCCAUUAACUGACCUUCUUGAUUCAAGUCACUAAACUCACUGGACUGAGUUAAAGGGGCAAAGAUGAUAAUAGUGAAGGCUGGUUAGAAACAAAAAUUAAUUUCUCCUGGUGCCUUUUCUUGUGCCCUUUAUUCCUUCACUCUUAGCGGUUUCUGUUAAUGGUUUACUAUAAUGGAGAGCUUGUUAGUGUUGAGAUUGUAAUUAAUCGGGGAAAAGUGGUCAUCAUAAUUUGUAUAUGUAUUUUUGUUAAAUAUCCUCAUUGUCAUUAUUUUAGUUGGCCUGGAUUAGAGUGAUAAUAGAGUAUAAUGAUGAGUCUGAUGGUGAUGAGUGUAAUGAUAAUGAAUGUCUACAACGGAAAUCAUAUACUGCUGGACAAUUAGAGCAGUUCACAACAAUCAGAGCGAUUGAUCGUUGAAACAAGUGGUUAACAAAAAAAGGAAGAAGAAAUUUACUUUUAAAUCAUCUUCUUUCAGCUUCAAGAUUGACUUGCCAAAAAUUGACCAAAACUUUUGUUUAUUAACCUUUUUUAAUUAUUUUGUCCAACUAAAACCCAAUUUUACAUGUUAAUGAAUAUUCAACACUAAAUGGAAAAUGAAAAGCUAUUUAUAAGAAAAUGAUAAAACAAUUCAAUGUUGCUACUAUUUUCUCAAUUAUUCACUCAAUUUUUCUUUAUUUUUCAGAUGAACCCUUUUUCAAUUCGAAUUGAAUAGUUUUCACAUUCUUGGUGUAGUGUUUAUGUUAUAACAUUUACAGAUCAUCACACAAGCACACAUGCAACUUACUCGCCUCUUACAUUCAUGUAUUUUUUUAAUGUACUGGGACCGCCAAUUUUUGAGGUUUGAGUCCAUGAUGUUCGAGGCUUUCGAUGAACCCUUUUAUACAAAUAGCACAUUGAAUCUCUGGAAAUGAAAGAAAGGUAACAGUCUAGUUGGACGGACCCAAGGCAUAACUAAAAAGACCUUUAAAUCAGUAUCCAAUCAAGAGGAUCUUUUAAAUUUAAAAUCAAACACUGAAAAUAACAUGAAAUGUAAAGAUAUCAAAGCUGAUUGCUGUUCAUUUGUUUAACCACUAAUACAGUAAUCAAAUGCUUUAACAAAAAAUACAAUAGCAAACAUGGAUUAAUGAAUUGAAAUAAACACAUGAGCGUCUUUUUCUGUGAUUC